CGAAAAGUAACAAUUUAUUGACAUCAACAUCGGAUCAACACUGCGAAUUAGAUAAUGAAGUUAUUGUUGAAGGUAUAGUUAUCCCGCGUUUGUCUUUGAUUGCUGUCUGUUAUAUUUGUUUUCGGAAAAAUCUGGCCGUUGCUUCACAUUUUUGAAUUGUUUCGCAUUUUGUCAUUACUUCUCGACACAAUGGCAUGAAAUUUGCUCAUUAUUGAAGGUUUUGCAAUGGCCUUAAAGUUUACUUUGUUCGUUGUGACAUUUGAUCUUUAUGGAUAGUUGUCACAUUAACAUGAAUACCAUACUAUAUAGAUAUAGGAAGAUGUGGUGUAAGUGCCAAAGAGACAACCCUCUAUCCAAAUAACAAUUUUAAAAAAGUAAACCAUUAGUAUAUAUCUUGUUUUAUAGAGUUACCUUAUUUUUUUAAGACGUCAUAAAACUUGCAUUUUUUUUUUAUCAAAAUAGAUUUAAUGGAAUGAAAUAUAAUAAUUAUUAGACGAGCAUUUAAACACACGCUGUAAAGGAAUACUAGUAUACAUUUUAAGUAUGAAAUAUAUAUUAGGGGGCUCUAACAAUGCAAUACUUAUUUGCACUAUGAUAAGCAUUUAAGCGGAUUUUCUAACUUUUUCUAUCUAAUGAAACAAAUUCCCCACAAUAUAUUACAUAUAACACGUAACGAACAGUUAUAUGCUUUUAUGAACAAACAACUUUUGAAUUAACAUUUUAAGAAAUAAGAAAUACAAUUGAGAAUGGAAAUGGUGAAUGUGCCAAGAAGACAACAACCCAACCAAAGAGCGGGACAAAGAAAGCAUGUUUGUCCUGAAAAAAAAUACCUAAACAAGUAACAAAUAUUAAACCGUCUUUCGAAGAGGAUUAGCGAAAGCCAUACUUUGUAAUUAUGAAUGUCAAUCGAACUUAUAUAUUUUUUUCUUGAAAUUUAAAGUUGCAUGUUUGAAUUUCUGUUGUAGACAACGAUGGCAACAAUGCGGUGUGCAAUUGUAAACUUCCACUUAUUCUUGGAAUAUAAUUUUACCGGUAUUUUGUCGUCUGGUGGUGCUGGUAUUUACUUUUACCAAAAUUGAAGACACAGGCGGAACUGGAUGUCCUGAAGAACUGUUGAUCGAACACAUUUGCACUGGACCAAUUGUUUCAUUUAUUGAUAUG
rnacentral:lncRNA from 1 species